rnacentral:rRNA from 1 species
GACGAACGCUGGCGGCGUGCCUAAUACAUGCAAGUAGAACGCUGAAGGAGGAGCUUGCUUCUCUGGAUGAGUUGCGAACGGGUGAGUAACGCGUAGGUAACCUGCCUGGUAGCGGGGGAUAACUAUUGGAAACGAUAGCUAAUACCGCAUAAGAGUAGAUGUUGCAUGACAUUUGCUUAAAAGGUGCAAUUGCAUCACUACCAGAUGGACCUGCGUUGUAUUAGCUAGUUGGUGGGGUAACGGCUCACCAAGGCGACGAUACAUAGCCGACCUGAGAGGGUGAUCGGCCACACUGGGACUGAGACACGGCCCAGACUCCUACGGGAGGCAGCAGUAGGGAAUCUUCGGCAAUGGACGGAAGUCUUACCGAACAACGCCGCGUGAGUGAAGAAGGUUUUCGGAUCGUAAAGCUCUGUUGUAAGAGAAGAACGAGUGGGAGAGUGGAAAGUUCACACUGUGACGGUAUCUUACCAGAAAGGGACGGCUAACUACGUG